UGCAUCUUGGGCUGGCCGCACGCCCGCACCCACGACCCCUUCUCCUACAGUGCUCGGUCGCCUCCCUCUCGCAACAGAAUCGGCCGCCCGGCCAGCUACCUUGCGUCGCCUCCUUUGCCACCCACGCCGUCUGCUGCCGUGCCGACUCUCUCAUGGGUCAUGGGCUCAUGGCAAUGGCGCACUCGACAGAAAUAGAAUAGGCCUACCAUCUCAGAGCCAAAUCUGAGGCGCCACUGGACCACCGCACCGCGUUGUCUUUCUCCUCGCGCUCACGACGCCUUCUGGAAGCUUCGGGAGGCCGCGCUCUGCUCCGGCGGGCGGGCGGGAUGGGGGUGUUUGACCAGCUGCCCCCGAUGGACCACAUGGUGUCCGAGAAGAUGUGCUUCGUGCACCUCAUCAUGCCCGCUAAGAGCUCGCGCCUCGCCGUCACCUACCUCGGCGAGCUCGGCCUACUCUAGUUCAAGGACCUCAGCAUAUGGCCAUGGCGGCACUGCUGCACAGAGUCGAUGAUCCGGGCUUCCCCUGAUGAUGAGCUGAGCUGGGCCACCAAUGGCGAGUUUGGAUGUGCACCGGGAAGGAAAUUAGCUGAUUGCCAGCUCAGCUCUCUUCUCUUCUGAUGGGCCAGACCAUACGAGUUUAUGGUCUGGGCUGUUAGUGGAUCGUGGAUGGAACAGCCCAUUGGGCCGCCUCCAACGCCGACCUCCACCGCUCCUCGAUCUGACUACGUAUAUUUUGCGAUAGAGAUAUCAGAUAAUAGGUUUUCAAUUGUAUUUGAGACCGAAUUCGGGUUCAGAUAUGUCUGUAUAAAGUCUGAAUAUUCAAUAUUCGAUAAUGUAUUCAUAUCCAAAUA